rnacentral:rRNA from 1 species
GACAGAGGAUGCAAGCGUUAUCCGGAAUGAUUGGGCGUAAAGCGUCUGUAGGUGGCUUUUAAGUCCGCCGUCAAAUCCCAGGCUCAACCCUGGACAGGCGGUGGAAACUACCAAGCUGGAGUACGGUAGGGCAGAGGGAAUUCCGGUGGAGCGGUGAAAUGCGUAGAGAUCGGAAAGAACACCAACGGCGAAAGCACUCUGCUGGGCCGACACUGACACUGAGAGACGAAAGCUAGGGAGCGAAUGGG